GGGUUGUGAGGUUAAGCGACUAAGCGUACACGGUGGAUGCCCUGGCAGUCAGAGGCGAUGAAGGACGUGCUAAUCUGCGAUAAGCGUCGGUAAGGUGAUAUGAACCGUUAUAACCGGCGAUUUCCGAAUGGGGAAACCCAGUGUGUUUCGACACACUAUCAUUAACUGAAUCCAUAGGUUAAUGAGGCGAACCGGGGGAACUGAAACAUCUAAGUACCCCGAGGAAAAGAAAUCAACCGAGAUUCCCCCAGUAGCGGCGAGCGAACGGGGAGCAGCCCAGAGCCUGAAUCAGUGUGUGUGUUAGUGGAAGCGUCUGGAAAGGCGCGCGAUACAGGGUGACAGCCCCGUACACAAAAAUGCACAUGCUGUGAGCUCGAUGAGUAGGGCGGGACACGUGGUAUCCUGUCUGAAUAUGGGGGGACCAUCCUCCAAGGCUAAAUACUCCUGACUGACCGAUAGUGAACCAGUACCGUGAGGGAAAGGCGAAAAGAACCCCGGCGAGGGGAGUGAAAAAGAACCUGAAACCGUGUACGUACAAGCAGUGGGAGCCUCUUUAUGGGGUGACUGCGUACCUUUUGUAUAAUGGGUCAGCGACUUAUAUUCUGUAGCAAGGUUAACCGAAUAGGGGAGCCGAAGGGAAACCGAGUCUUAACUGGGCGUUAAGUUGCAGGGUAUAGACCCGAAACCCGGUGAUCUAGCCAUGGGCAGGUUGAAGGUUGGGUAACACUAACUGGAGGACCGAACCGACUAAUGUUGAAAAAUUAGCGGAUGACUUGUGGCUGGGGGUGAAAGGCCAAUCAAACCGGGAGAUAGCUGGUUCUCCCCGAAAGCUAUUUAGGUAGCGCCUCGUGAAUUCAUCUCCGGGGGUAGAGCACUGUUUCGGCAAGGGGGUCAUCCCGACUUACCAACCCGAUGCAAACUGCGAAUACCGGAGAAUGUUAUCACGGGAGACACACGGCGGGUGCUAACGUCCGUCGUGAAGAGGGAAACAACCCAGACCGCCAGCUAAGGUCCCAAAGUCAUGGUUAAGUGGGAAACGAUGUGGGAAGGCCCAGACAGCCAGGAUGUUGGCUUAGAAGCAGCCAUCAUUUAAAGAAAGCGUAAUAGCUCACUGGUCGAGUCGGCCUGCGCGGAAGAUGUAACGGGGCUAAACCAUGCACCGAAGCUGCGGCAGCGACGCUUAUGCGUUGUUGGGUAGGGGAGCGUUCUGUAAGCCUGUGAAGGUGUGCUGUGAGGCAUGCUGGAGGUAUCAGAAGUGCGAAUGCUGACAUAAGUAACGAUAAAGCGGGUGAAAAGCCCGCUCGCCGGAAGACCAAGGGUUCCUGUCCAACGUUAAUCGGGGCAGGGUGAGUCGACCCCUAAGGCGAGGCCGAAAGGCGUAGUCGAUGGGAAACAGGUUAAUAUUCCUGUACUUGGUGUUACUGCGAAGGGGGGACGGAGAAGGCUAUGUUGGCCGGGCGACGGUUGUCCCGGUUUAAGCGUGUAGGCUGGUUUUCCAGGCAAAUCCGGAAAAUCAAGGCUGAGGCGUGAUGACGAGGCACUACGGUGCUGAAGCAACAAAUGCCCUGCUUCCAGGAAAAGCCUCUAAGCAUCAGGUAACAUCAAAUCGUACCCCAAACCGACACAGGUGGUCAGGUAGAGAAUACCAAGGCGCUUGAGAGAACUCGGGUGAAGGAACUAGGCAAAAUGGUGCCGUAACUUCGGGAGAAGGCACGCUGAUAUGUAGGUGAAGUCCCUUGCGGAUGGAGCUGAAAUCAGUCGAAGAUACCAGCUGGCUGCAACUGUUUAUUAAAAACACAGCACUGUGCAAACACGAAAGUGGACGUAUACGGUGUGACGCCUGCCCGGUGCCGGAAGGUUAAUUGAUGGGGUCAGCGCAAGCGAAGCUCUUGAUCGAAGCCCCGGUAAACGGCGGCCGUAACUAUAACGGUCCUAAGGUAGCGAAAUUCCUUGUCGGGUAAGUUCCGACCUGCACGAAUGGCGUAAUGAUGGCCAGGCUGUCUCCACCCGAGACUCAGUGAAAUUGAACUCGCUGUGAAGAUGCAGUGUACCCGCGGCAAGACGGAAAGACCCCGUGAACCUUUACUAUAGCUUGACACUGAACAUUGAGCCUUGAUGUGUAGGAUAGGUGGGAGGCUUUGAAGUGUGGACGCCAGUCUGCAUGGAGCCGACCUUGAAAUACCACCCUUUAAUGUUUGAUGUUCUAACG
rnacentral:rRNA from 1 species